rnacentral:rRNA from 1 species
AACGAACGCUGGCGGCAUGCCUAACACAUGCAAGUCGAACGGGAUCCUAGCUUGCUAGGUGAGAGUGGCGGACGGGUGAGUAACACGUGGGAAUCUGCCUUUUGGUUCGGGAUAACCGCGGGAAACUGCGGCUAAUACCGAAUGCCCUCGAGAGAGGAAAGAUUUAUCGCCAGAAGAGGAGCCCGCGUCCGAUUAGGUAGUUGGUGGGGUAAAAGCCUACCAAGCCGACGAUCGGUAGCUGGUCUGAGAGGAUGAUCAGCCACACUGGGACUGAGAUACGGCCCAGACUCCUACGGAGGCAGCAGUGGGGAAUAGUUGGACAAUGGGGGCAACCCUGAUCCAGCAAUG